rnacentral:lncRNA from 1 species
AUAAUUCCGUAUUUGGCAAUUAAAAUGGAUUGCAUUGAUCAGCAUUAACAUUAACAAACUAGAGCCCUUAAUGUAAAGAGAGAAAUCAAACUAAGCCACUCAUAUCGAGGAGACCAGUCAGCCAUCUUGAUGAAGAACAAGCUCCAUAUUCAAAUCAUGUCUCGAUAAGGUAACAAGACAAAAACUCGCAUGAUACUUGCAUAAAUUAAAAAAAAAAAAAACACACUCUUCGCAUAUUAAAUUGAGAUCUUAGGUUAUUGGUAUGCCAGCUUCAGCUCCGCUUUCACAUUGCCAGACCAAAUGAAAAACUAAAUAUUGCCUGAAAUUAUAGUCACCGAAAGAGUACAGAAGUUUUGACGUAGUUCACAGUUUCUCAAAACUUUCAGGAACUCGGACACUCAGAUUCGAAGGAACCUGAGAUGAGAAUCUUUUCAUGGAACCUGAAGAGCUCACCGAGUAUUUUGCUUCUUCUUCAGAGGUGGGCCAAUACUCCAUGCCUCUCCGAUUUGUAAUCCAUAAGCAUGAUCCAGCUUUACUCUCGUCAGUAAUAAGCUCAAAAGCACCUAAAAGAAAACAUGUUUGGAAUAUGAGAUAAGAGUUUCAAAACAAAGGGGACAAACCUGGAGGGUUCUAAUGAAAUUGCAAGCCAGAUUUAUUCGUCCUUCUCAAGAAAAAGUAAUAAAAAGAGAAAGAAAGAGGUAUAUUCACUGUGCACCUGAAGCUGAUAUUUUUUAUACCCAGAAAGAGUAAUUUAAGUUCAUUUUUAAGGAGUCUUUCUUGUUCAGAUUUCAGACAAUUCAAGCCUUACGAUUUUCCACUGCAUAAGGAUGUUGUACUAGACACUUCUCAUAAAUUUGAAGAGUAAUACCUUUCACUACCGUAUCCAUAGGUACAAAGCCCCCCAUCAGAUCAAUUAAUUGGGAGCCCGCCUUUAAGGCCAACUCAGUUUCAACAAACUGCAAACAAGAAUUCACAGUGAAACUAGUUGAGACUGACCCGUUUUCAAAAUGCUGGCUAAAUAUCACACUAGAUGACAUCCGGAAUGCUUCAAAUGGAGCAAUACCUCAGGGCAAAGCACGUUGAUGCGAAUUCCCUUGCUUUUGUAGGGAGUAAGUGAUCUAGUAAAUAAAACAACACCACCUAUGGAAAAAAAAAAAAAAAAAAUUGUUAUGAGAAUCAAAUUCUACAUUAUUUCUUUCCUUUUAUAGCUGACAUCAAAUGAACAUAAGGUAAUCUAAAUGAGUGCCCGAAAUAAAAUCGGUGACACAAUGUGGUACAAACAUCAAACCUUUGGAAGCAGAGUAGAUUGGAUCUGUGUAAAAUGGAUAAAGUCCUGCAGAAGAUCCCAUAUUUAUAAUCACUCCAGGCUUUUUUGCAGCUUGCAUAAUUCCAAUCUGUUAUCAUAAAAUGUACUCAUAAUCACCACUCAUUCUCUUCCAAUUAGCAAAUUAAAAGUAUAAGCAUAAAUCCAUCUCUUGGAACUUUCAACAUCUUGGAGUUGUGAAGUACAUUCUUUUGUUCCGCAAACGUAUGAGGAGAGUGCAAGUUAUCAAACAUACGUCAUGCAGUUAGCUUCUACACAAUCAUGCACACCCAUAAAUGGGGAAAAAAAUCCUCUAAAAUUUGCUAAAUGGCAGCAGGCAGAGGAUUACCGGAAAAAGAAUCCACUUUUUACAUAAAAAAAUUUCACCCAAUAAUCACUUACCUUGUGAAUGGGCUAUAGUUAGAAGUUUUUUGAAUCGCAUGGAUAAUUUAUGUGGCCUUGGGACAUCUUAAGGCUGUACUAGACUCUGACAUUAACAGCUUAACAUCAAGAAGUAUUCAACAGAUAUCAACCUCAUCAACAAUGCCAAACAAACCAUGGCAAUAAGUCGAGCAAGAGCAACCAAGUAUGAGAGUAAACCAUGAAGGCAAGUCAAAUUUAAAGCAUACCGCUUUCUGAGUGCAAUCAAUAACUGCAACCAAGUUCACAUCAAGAGUGAAUCUCCAUGAACGUGUGCCAUCAGUUUGAUCCUCGUGGAAUGGAAUGGGAUUACUUAUGCCAGCACUGUUGAUACAUAUAUCCAAUCCUCCAUAUGUAGCUACGUGCUUCUCAAAAGCAGCAGCUGUAUCCCCUGGUCAUCGAAUAUGAUGAAUGCACAUAACUCUCUUAAAACAUAAGUUGCACAUUGAGGAGAACAAGAAGAAAACAUGCCCAGAAAUUGAUGCUCUUUACUGUCAAGAAGUGAGACGCAAUUCUGUUUGAUGGAUUACUUGUAAAAUCAUCAAGUAACAAUCCAAGAAAUGAUUGGAUAUGCAAAUUCAUGCUGAGAAGUCAAAAUACAUAAAAACCAAUCGUCUACAAAGCAACGUCAUACAAAGUUAAAAAAAAAAAAUAUUCUGUUUCCCAUUAGAACCUCAACAUAAUACAACGGAUAAGUAAAUAACUAAAAAGUGUAAUAUAAAAAUCGUCAAAAUUCAGUUUUUGAAAUCCUCUCUUUCACAGCCUCAGAAAAGCCAAUGCAAACUCUGAACCAGGAAAAGUGAAAAGCGACAAAAUGAGAACAGUCCGGUUAUGACACGUAAGUAAAUAUAGGCAAACUUACUUGUGUUGGUCACAUCACAUCUUAUAAACAUAGCAGAUGGAAAUCCUAAGUUUGAAUGAAACUUGGCAUUCUCUUUUUCAACAAGCGCUGCAACUUCCUUUCCCUUUUCUUCAGAGAGAUCAACAACUGUCACAAAGACUCCCUUCCCUGCAAGAGCUAGGCUCAAAGCUCUACCUGCAAAAUAUACACCAGCAUUGGCAACAUCCGGAAAUUAUAUACCACAACAAUUCAAAUUUCAGUAACUUCCCUUGAAUAUGAAUAAAAUCAUUUUAGCCUAUCUUCGGAAGCCUCCGAUUGAUGAGAGUAACUACUAACUACUUAUAGGAUAUAUCGUAUACAAGAAAAAUAAGCAUAUACUGGAUUAGUAAUGAUUAGAAGGUCCCAAAAACACAAAGAAUCUAAAUUUCAAUAAGAAACAACCAAAGACACAACACAACCUAUCAAGUGCCAAACAAAACACAAUCAAUACACAAACACGAACCCAGUAAAGGAAUCAAAAUAGGGUACUUAAACGCAAGAAAAAGAAAAUUAAAAGCCUUCAAUUUUUUACCAAUCCCAGAUGCACCGCCGGUGACAAAAGCUGAUAAGCCCGGUUUGAGCUCCAUUUUAUGAACAAACAGAGAGGCAAAGGGAAGCGAUUAAACUACUCGGUUAAGAGUUUUCUUAUGUGAUCGGGCUUUAACUGCCCCUUUUCCCGGGUAUUUAUUUGAACGUACUGAAAUUUGUUGUUGCUCUGAAUUGCCAAAUGAAGGGUCGAUGUUAUAUAGACGGCUUCCUAUAGGUCUCUCCAGCCCACAAUUUGCGGCGCACUGGGGUCUCCUCAUUUUCCGUAAUUGUUUGUUUAGACGUGCAAAUAAUUUGAUGAUUCUUUCCUUGAACGUCAGAGCCAGACAGGGACAAAUACGUUUCAUCAUCUAACCUCUAACCAUUAACCAAUAUCUGCUAAACAAAUACCAGUAGAUUACGCAAGAAAUAUUAUUAACACGAGAACAAUAAGAAGAUAUUAGAUUACGUACUAAACAAUCAGCUUUAGGAAAGUAUUGAUAAUAUACAUGCACUCAAUACAAUUAUUAGACGUAAAAAUGCCACGUGCCGCCCGGUUAAUAAUUCGAUUUUUCUAAAUUUUAUUGGGAUAAAUAUCUCUCCUGCAUUCAUGGUAAUAGAUUUGGAUCAUGAUUCUCUCUUAAUCUGAUCUCCUCCUGAACAAACAUAUAUGGUGAUUGGUUGUUAAUAAAAUAAAAAAAUAAAAAAGUUAAAUCUUAUCCAUAUACUAUCACUUAAAAACACAUGACACAAAAUCUUAAAAAACUCAUGAGAGCUCAGAUAAGGAGAGGAUCUUUUUCUAAUAAAUUUUCGAACCCACCCUCGAUAGAUCAUCGCUUGGCUGAAAUAUGUACUACUCAUAGUACAUUUCAAAUUAUAUGUACUUGUAGAUGGUAACAAUUUCAAAAAAUAAUAUCAGCAAUGUAAUUAUUUGUAACGUGACCUUAGUAGUACUUAUUUGACCUUAUUGGAGUUAUCAGUAUUUUUGGCUAGACAUGUUUUGCUGUAUUAUCAAAACAUGUGCCGUAUAAGCUGUAUUGCUGACUUUUAAAACAAAAAAAUUAUCUAAGCAAUUAAAACGUUUUCAAUUUAUUUAUUAUUAUUUUAUAAAAUAAUAAAUUUGAUUGCUAAAAAUGUUGGCCACAACCGACCAACGCAAGCCGCUAUUAGCAAUCUUAUAGUGGUAUAUUGCAUUAAGUUAUAUUGCUUUAGCAUUAUAUUAUAUUAACAUUUUAUAAUAUUUGUUGUUAUAUUGUAUAGUAUUAUAUUAUAAUAAUUUUCAAUAUUAUUAUUUGUAAUAUAGAAUACUUAAAAAAUCAGUUUAAACAUAUUCCACGUACUGGCAAUAAUCAACAAAGUUUCAGAAUAGAGUUAUUAAUUAAUUUAGGAUAACAUUUAGAAAUUAACUUAGAAAAGGUAAAAGAGCUAGUACUAGGAGUAGAAAUUUUUUUUGAAACUAGCAAUAUUAAUACAUUAAGAAGAAAUUUAAAUUAUAUUAAAAAAUUAUUAGCUAAUUUUAAUAAGCAUAUUAGCAUAUUCCCUAGCAAGAAAUAAUAGAAUUAAUAUAGUUAUUAGACAUAAAAACAUCUAACCGAGUAGAAUUAGAAAUUAAAAAUUUUGUCGAAAGCUUAAAAGUUGCAAUAGAAAAUAUUAAAUGUACAGAAAGAGAAUUACAAAUACAACUAGACUCAAUAAAACUAAUAGCAAGUGAAUGAGUUUAGAAAAUCAAUUAAUAGAAAUAUUAGCAUAAUUGAAAAAAAAUACACCAAAUAUUAACCCAAUAGGCUAUUGUUAUAGAGAAUUUAGUCAAUAAAGUAAUAAUAUAUAGCGAGCUCAAGCAAAUACUAUUAUUAAAUUAUUAGUCAGAGUUUGUAAUAAGUUAGAAGACUUAGAAAAAUAAACUUAUUAAAUUAGAAAGUGGCUUUUAAACCUUUAUAAAAAGUAAAGAAACAAUAUCACAUUUAGUGAAGUAAUUAUUUGAUUUAAAACUAAAAGGACAAAAGAAAUUAAUUAUUUUGCUACAUUAUUACUAGUAAUAGAAUAUGUUAUGGGUAGAAUUAGUGAAUACUGUGAAAGAAGAAAAAAAAAGAUGUUUGGGUGGUUAAAACGCUACCACAUAUGUGUGUGUGUGUGUGUGCGCGCGCUCGACAUUGUAGCCUGCUCGUGAUCAAAGCAAUGUUCGAGGAGAUUCGUAAUAGUCAGCUACUUGUAUGCAUAAGGACUGCCAGGGAAAUCGCGAGGAGAAGCCAAGAUCAGGUCUUCACACAGACCUGGUCAGAGGUUGACCAUCGAGUUGUCUAGGAAAACUAAGUAUGAUGCCCACUCCUAGACGGUUACCGAAACAACUUCUCGAUCGCCUUAUAACUGGUGCACGUGCCCAUAACCCAACUAACACGCUCAACCAAUCCACGAGCAUCCACGAACUGAUAGUGAAGCAAUAGAUUCGGCUGCUUAUAAACGCAUUGCAAAUGGAAAUCAAAGGCGACACUUUUGGAACAAAGGGGGAAACUCUGUCUCUUUAAGUCCAGAACUUUUCUCUUAAAUUAUUUAUUCUUGUGGGCAUUAUAAUCUUUACUUCAAAUAGCUACUAUUAAGCCACAGACAUUUGUGACGCAAGUUUUUCUAAAAAAACAUCCGGCGCCCCCUGAUUGUUUAUUAUGAUUGUAGGUGUGGAGAGCACGUGGUCAUCAAAAUCUGUUCCACUGAAACAACUGCAAGCAGUUCUGUGCCCCAUCAAAAUAAAUUCAGUUAUUGACUUGACAAUCUGGUAGCUAUAACGAGCUCGACUAGAUUUCUGCAUCAACAAAAGACAUCAAAUAAAAUUGUAAUUUAGGAAAAUGUAUAUAGAUAUGUCAAAAGUACCGACUUUAAGAUGUAAUUAUCCUAGCUAUUCUAGUUGUAAGAAAAAUAUAAAAAAUGAUAUAAGCACUAUAAACAACCAUACAUGUAUAAUAAUAGAAAAUUCUAUAGGAAAAAAUUCUUUAAAUAUAAUAGCAGAAAAUCUAAAAGGUAAGCACUUAAAAAUGGUAAAAGAAUCUAUAAACGGAAUAAAACUUGUAAAUGUUUUUUAUGUGGUAAAUAAUGACAUAUUAAACCACACUGUCCUAAAAAUAAAAAAGUGAUCAAUCAAUUAAAAAUAUAUAGUUAUAUAUAAUAUAGAAGAACAAAUUUUAGUCAUAGAGAAAAUAUUUAAUAUAGAUAAAUAAUCAAAUAAUGAUAGCAUAUGUAUUCUUAGUAGUAAAUCAGAAGCUAAUUAUAAUUCAGUUUUAAAUUCAAACUCAGAGGUAGAAUUAGAUUUAGAAAUUAAUGUCUUAGGAACUUAUACAUAAGUUUUUGGUAAAAACUGUAUAGUCUGUAAUAAAAAAUUUAAAUUAGGAUAUAGAGAUAUAAGAAACAGAUAAAUUCUUUUGCAAUAGUUGUAAAGAUAAACAACAAGAUGAUAAAACAAUAGAAAUAAAUGGAGUAGGAAGUGAAUUAAUAUAUAUAGAUGUAGAAUUAUUAUUUAAAAAGGAAAUAAUUUAUACUAAAGCAAUGAUAGACACUAGAGCAAACAAAUGUAUUAUACAUGAUAGCUUAGUCCCUGAAGAAAAUAGGAAUAAGUUAGAAAUCCAGUAAAUAUUAUUAGACAAUUUAAUGGUGAAUUAAUGCAAAUAACAGAAUGUAUAAAUAAUAUACUUAUUAGAAUAAAUGGAGAAACACAUGGUAUUACCAUAAACAUUUAUUUCUAACCCGAAACUAGGAUAUAAAGUUAUUUUAAGAUUAAAUUUUAUAUUAGAAAAUAAUGAUAGUAUAUUAAUAACUCCAAAUGGAGUUAAUUUCUUUAAAAAAUCAACAUUCAUUCAAUCUAAAUAUGAAACACACAUCUUCCCAUAUGAAAAGAAUACAUUAAUGCUAGAAAAAGAAGUAGAUAUAUAAUUCUUUAAUUCGUUAUUAGAGGAAGAAAAAGAUAGUAAGGUAGAAAGUAUUGAAGAGCUGGAAGACUAUAAUAAGUUAGAAUUAGAACGUGACAUGCACAUGAAUAAUAAGUUUUCCAUUAAUGAAAUAGAAAUGCUAGAUGAUGAAGACAUAGACAUGUACUUACAAGAUAUUAUGAGUAUAGAAAAACAAGUUGAAUGUUAUGCGAUAAAUGAUCUAAGAUAUAAAGAAACAAGUAGAUGAAUUAGAAAAAAUUAGAUAAUAGGCAACAAACCAAAUAGAAAAGAUAAUAAAGAGAUUUAUAGAUUAGAAAUAAUUAAUUCAAACAUAUCAAUAAAAGCACAAGAUUUAGCCUAUAGUUUAGAAGAUACAAAUGAGUUCAAAAUGUAUAUAAAUAAAUUAUAGAAUUAAAAGUAAUAAGAAAUAGUACAAGUAGACAUAGAAGUCCAGCAUUAAUAGUAAAUAAGCAUAGUGAGCAAAAAAGAGGUAAGAGUAUAAUUGUAAUUAACUAUAAAAGAUUAAACAAUAAUAAUUUAGACAAUAGUUAUAAAAAAAACCCAAUAAAGAUGAGCUAGUAAAUUGUAUACAGAAUACUGGAUACUUUUCUAAAUUUGAUUGUAAAAGUGGUUUUUGGCAAAUAUGACCUCAUAAGAAUCUAUUCAAUGGAUAGCUUUCAGUUGUUCAAAAGAACAUUUCAAAUAGUUAGUCAUGCCAUUCAAAUUAAAAAAUGCACUACAAGUUUUUCAAAUUUAAAUGGAUAAAAUAUUAAAACCAUUUUCAAAAUUUUGUAUAGUUUAUAUAGAUUAUAUUAUUGUCUUUGAUCAUAAUAAAUUUAUGAAUAUAACUCACUUACAUAACAUUUUAGAUAUUUUAGAUUAUUUUAAGAAUAACAAUAUAGUAAUUUCUAAAAAGAAAAUUGAAUUAUUAAAACAAAAAAAAUUAGGACUAACAAUAGACAGAAGAACUAUAGAAUUACAACCACACAUAGUUAGUAAAAUAUUAGAAUUUUCGAAUAAAAGAGAAGAUACUAAAAAAAUACAAAAAUUCUUAGGAUUAUUAAAUUAUAGUAGAAAAUUUAUAACAAAUAUCCGUACAUUAAUAAAACCCUUAACCCUUACAUAAUAAGUUAAGUAAAAAUGGACAUAAAUAUUUUAAUAUUGAAGAUAUAAAAUUAAUAAAAAAACUUAAAAGAAUAUUUAGAAAUCUUAAGCUAUUAGCAUUAUCUAUAGACAAUUAUUAUAAAAUUAUACAAAUUGAUGCAAGUAGUUUAGGAUGAGAAAGAAUAUUAAUAACAAAGCCUAAUAAAGAUAGUCUAAAAGAAAAAGAAGAAAUAACAAUGUAUACAAGUGGAAAAUUCAUAAAAAUAAAAAGUAGAAAAUCAAGUACAUAACCAGAAAUUUUAGGAAUAAUAAGUUCUUUAAAUUCAUUUAAUUUGUAUAUAAAAAAUGAUAUAUUUAUAAUACGAAUAGGUUGUAAUAAUAUUAUUGAAUUUUAUAAAAAAGUACAAAAGAAAAAUUUUGAGAAGAAGAAUUCUUUUAUUAAUAAAAGAUGAACGUAUUUUUUAGACGUAAUAACAUAUAGAGGAUAUAAAGGAAAUUUUGAACACAUAAUAGGUAAAAAUAAUACUUUAGUAAUAUACUUUCGAGACUAAUUAUUCAAUGAUUAUUUUACAGGAAUGGUGUGAUAUAUGAAUUUCGGUCCAGUAACACUUAGACAGUUCCUUUCAAGAACAAGUUUGAAUUUUAUAAGGACUAAUUAUCAAACAGUCGAUAAUACAUCUUAGAUAAUUUGUGGAGUUGUAAUAACUCACAAGAUAAAUUAAAAGUAGUCAAUGCACUCAUGAAUUAUUUUAGACAUAUUAAUGAGCAUAUAGAAAGCAAUCAUUUUGCAUUUUUUAUAUUAGUUAGAGGUAGACAAUCAGGCAUUUAUAGCAAAUAGAGAGAGAUAAUUUAUCUAAUAGUUAAUUAUCUAAAUCCAUAUUGUAGAGGUUUUUAUACAUUUCAUAAAGCAAUAGAAUUUGCUAGACAAAAGAUAGGACUAAAUUAUCAUAUUAGCAAUUUAAUUAACCCUUUAAACAAUGUAUCAAUAUCAUUAGCCAGACAAUGAAUUAACUCUUUAAUCAAUGCAUCAUCAUCAACCAUACAAUUUUGUAACUAUUGUGAAGUCAUGACACGCACCAUUAGAAAGCUCAAUGAAGUAAAUGCAUAUAGACAGAAGAUAAUUGCAUUAGAAAUUGCUGAUGUAGAACUAUUUAGAGAGAAUAUUUUAUUACAAAAUAAAUAUCAUAUUUUACAUAACCAAAAGACCAAAAAAAAACUGAAAACAUUUAAUCAUUACUUUCUACUUGAAGAAGCUUUUAACCAUAUCCUAGUGAAGUAAUUUUUAAGAAUCCAAAAAUUUCUCCCCUCAUUAGUGAUGGUAUAGACAUUGUAAAAGAAAAAAUAUUUUUAACCAUAGAAGAAAUCUUAUAGCAGGAUUUUAUUUCAAUAGCCAAUCAAUUAUUUUAAAAUCAAUUAAAUUUCUUCACUGAGUUAGGACCUAGAUGAUCAGAACUAAGAAAUAUUACCCUCCCAGACAUGAUUUUCCUACAAUUUCCUUUGAUUAUUCUUUAGUCAAAAUCGUAAACAAUUAAAAUUUAUUAUUUAUAAGACAGUCACUACCAUACUAAACAUUAUAUUACAACUUAAUAUAAUGCAUCCUAAUGCUAUACAACAUAGUGCAAUACAACUAAUAUGAUGUGAUAUAAUGCAAUGUGUCAAACGUCCUCCAAAUGAAUACACUUAGUCUGAGGUACGGGGAUUGAGCCAUUGAGGUUAUGCAAGGUGAAAGAAAUAAGAAAUAAGAACUUAAAUAAACUUUAAUUUAUGCGGAUUGAUUCAACUUUUCAUGUAAUUAAAUAUUCCAUUGGAGUUGGAUUAGGGAUAUUAUUUUACUACCUAAUAUAUUUUGACAUAACAUUUCACCAUUAAAGUUUUCUGACAAUUACUUUUUCUUAUUUAAUGUUUUAGUUUUUAUUAUUUUACUACCGAACCAUUAAAAUUAAUAAAAUUCUUAACGUGAAAUAUAAUAAAAGACUAUUUUACCCCCAAAUUACGUAAAUAUAAUUUAACAUAAAUUAAAAAAUAUAAAAUUAAUUAUAUACAAAAAUAAUAUUUUCACUAAUUAAUUAUUUAAUUAUAUAAAAUAACUAAUUGAUAAAAUUAUAAAUAUCAUACCUUAUGAAAUUCCUAAAACAUUAUAUAUAUUGAAAACUCAAGGCCACAGCCCACAGCCAAUGGCUACGGACGUUGCUUUAAGUUCUUUUAUUCGAAGGAUUGGUAAACCACGUACCGCUAUCAUUAUAAUAAUGGGAACAAGCGAGAUUAGGUGUAAUUUUCAUUUGUUUUCGUCCUUAUCAUGACAUAGCAUCAUCUAUUCAUUUUACGUGUUAGCUUAUUACUCUUGUUUGUUUUAAGUUAAAUAAAAUAUUAAUCCCUUUUUUGACAUUUGAGGCGAGUUAUAUAAAUAACAAUCCGUUCUUGACAUUUGAAGCAUACUUGUACCAAGAGCAAAGCUUAAACAUUUCAAUUUUUGGCUUUUUUAUUUUGUUUUUUAUUUGUUAGGUUUUAUAAUCUCAAAAUCAAGUGUAUGUUUGGCAUACAGUGUCACAUAGUAUUAAUUUGUGGGCUCACAUUAGUUGAAAUAAUUCCGUAUUUGACAAUUCAAAUGGAUUGCAUUGAAAUGAAUGUUGUUUCUAAGCAUGAAAAGUAUCUGGGACUUCCAUCUAUGAUUGAGAGGAGAAAUAUUAGUUUCUUCAACGACAUAAAGUUGAGUGCUGAAUAAGCUGUCAAGUUGGCAAAAUAAGUGUUUCUCGAGUGGGGGAAAAGAAAUCCUCAUCAAAGCUGUGGCACAAGCUGUGCCGGCUUAUGCGAUAAGCAUUUUUAGAAUUCCUCAAGGGCUUUGUGACGAUAUACAAAAGGCAGCAGCAAGGUUUUGGUGGGGAUCAUCCGAAACUUAUAAAAGUAUUUAUUGGGUAAGGUGGGAAAGGUUGUGCCGGGCUAAGAUCAGGGGUGGAUUGGGAUUUAGAGAUCUUUCAAGUUUCAAUCAGGCUCUUGUUGCUAAUCAGGGGUGGAGAAUUCUACAUAACCCUGAUUCUUUUAUGACAAAAGUAUUAAAAGCCAAGUACUCCAAACAUACUGACUUUAUGGAGGCAAAAUUGGGGUCAAAUCCCCCCUUUGUAUGGAGAAGGAUAUUAUGGGGAGACAAGUGCUACACCAAGGCCUAAGAUGGAGAAUUGGUAAUGGAAGCCGUGUUUCAGUGUCCAACAGUAAUUGGAUUCUGAGAUAUGAACUUUCAAGCUAUGUCCCUCAUCAAAAUUUAACGGAAGGGGCUGUUGUUGCUGAUUUUAUUGAUGACAAAAAUCAGUGGAAGGAAGAGAAGAUUGAGCAAUGUUUUACCAAAGAGGUUGCACAGAAGAUUUUGAAAAUCCCUCUCCCAAGAACCCCUCAGGAAGACAUAUUGAUUUGGCAGUUCGAUAAGCAUGGCUGUUACUCAGUAAGGAGUUGAUAUCAGGUGGCACUAAAGAUGAAGUUCCCAGAUAAUCCGGAGUGCUCUGACAGCUCAAAAACUCAGUGGAAGGUAAUUUGUUCAAAUGAGAUUUCGGAAAAAAUUAAAAUUUUUAUGUGGAGGGCUGCUCAAAAUUUACUGCCAACAGCUAGCAAUCUAUGGAGGAAAAAUGUGGUGAGGGAUCCAGCCUGCCAAAGAUGUCAUUGUAAAAGUGAGAGUGUUCUUCAUGUCUUAAUAGAGUGCGAGGCUGCUCGCAAAGUCUGGAAAUUGACAGAUUUUUACGAGGAUGUGAAGUUGAUGGCUCAGCAAGAUAUAUUGAGUAUGCUCCAAGGUUUAGCAUCGAGAAGGAAGAAGAAAGAGUUGGAACAGAUUAUUGCCGUAUGUUGGGCCAUUUGGUAUGCGAGGAACCGCUUUAUAUAUGAAGGAAAGCAGGAAGAGCCAAAACUGACAGCAGCAAGAGCAUCAGCUAUUGUGGAGUCAUACAGGAGAAUAAAAAUCCAAAAUGGUCCAGCUCGAUCAAUCCAUCAUCGAAACAGCCAGCAAAUUUGGAAACCUCCUCCAGAUGGGAAGUACAAAGUCAAUGUAGAUGCUGCAAUUCAGAUGUCAGGUCUGAAGGCAGGGUUGGGGGUUGUGAUUGGGAACUCAAAUGGAAAAAUCAUUGCCGCAGCUGUCAAGAGAGUCAGCUAUAAGGGGACAGUGGCGUGCAUGGAGGCUGAAGCAAUUCUUUUUGGCAUUCAAGUUGCCCAACAAGCAGAAUGUUUGCCCAUGAUCAUUGAAUCGGACUCAACAGAAGUGGUGGAGCUAGUUUUGAACAGGAAGGGUAGCAUGACAGAAAUUUCUUGGACAGUUGAAGAAAUUAAACAAAGGCUGAUGAAUCACAAUACAUCUUCAAUCCAGUUUGCUCCAAGGAAGUGUAAUGCCAUUGCCCAUUCUAUAGUUAAAGUGGCUUUUGAUUUUGAGAACCCUGUUAUUUGGCUGGAAGAGUUUCCAGUUCAGAUCAUGCUGUUAUUUUCAAAGUUCAUUAAUUAGAAAGCUUUACUUUCUCAUUAAAAAAAACAAUAAAUAACCAGAGCCCUUGAUGUAAAGAGAGAAAUCAAACUAAGCCACUCAUAUACAGGAGACCAGUCAGCCAUCUUGAUGAAGAACAAGCUCCAUAUUCAAAUCAUGUCUCGAUAAGGUAACAAGACAAAAACUCGAAUGAUACUUGCAUAAAUUAAAUAAAUAAAUAAAACACACACACAUACACACACUCUUCGCAUAUUAUAUUCAGAUCUUAGGUUAUUGGUAUGCCAGCUUCAGAUCACUCUCCACUUUCACAUUGCCAGACCAAAUGAAAAACUAAAUAUUGCCUGAAAUUAUAGUCAAAUUUCCAUCACCAGCCACCGAAAGAGUACAGAAGUUUGACGUAGCUCACAAUUUCUCAAAACUUUCAGGAGCUCGGACAUUCAGAUUCGACGGAACCUAAGAUGAGAAUCUUUUCAUGGAACCUGAAGAACGCACCGAGUAUUUUGCUUCUUCUUCAGAG